AAGAAAGUAACUUAAUGGGCAAAGUGCUUUCCUAUAACAGAACGAAAUGUUGGUUCGAAUCCAAUCUUUCUUA
rnacentral:tRNA from 1 species